GGGUGUAGCUCAGUUGUAGAGCACUUGCCUAGCAUGUGCAAGGCCCUGGGUUCCAUCCCCAGCACUGCUA
rnacentral:tRNA from 1 species